AUUGAACGCUGGCGGCAGGCCUAACACAUGCAAGUCGAACGAGUGGCGGACGGGUGAGUAAUGUCUGGGAAACUGCCUGAUGGAGGGGGAUAACUACUGGAAACGGUAGCUAAUACCGCAUACCAUCGGAUGUGCCCAGAUUGGAUUAGCUAGUGGGUGUGGUAACGGCUCCCCUAGGCGACGAUCCCUAGCUGGUCGGAGAGGAUGACCAGCCACACUGGAACUGAGAAACGGCCCAGACUCCGACGGGAGGCAGCAGUGGGGAAUAUUGCACAAUGGGCGCAAGCCUGAUGCAGCCAUGCCGCGUGUAUGAAGAAGGCCUUCGGGUUGUAAAGUACUUUCGGCGGGGAGGCGGUACCCGCAGAAUAAGCACCGGCUAACUCCGUGCCAGCAGCCGCGGUAAUAC
rnacentral:rRNA from 1 species